rnacentral:snoRNA from 1 species
UGAUGAUGGUGAGGGAAAUUUCUGACCAUACCCUUAAAUCUCUCCCCAAGCUUUAUAUAGAUUCUCUCUAUCUUUCUGUCUUAAACUCAAGAUCUCACUCCUCAAGUG